UUGAAUAUCAUUCCCUGUGCUAUAUAAUAGGAACUUGUUGUUUACCUCUUUUAUAUAUAGUUGUGUGUAUCUGUUAAUCCCACGGUUCUGACUUUUGUUUGCCCUUUUAAAAAUAUCCCUGUCUGGAAACCAGACUAUUGCAAUAUUUUCUAGCUCUUUCUUUAGGAUCUACCACCAUUAAAAAAAAAAACCUGAACAUUUUUGGAAGAACUUAGGUGCCGAGCAAGACCAAUGUAGCUCUCAAGGAGAAGAGGAGACAGGCUUGCUCUGUGGUGCUCCCAGGCUAUACUUGAUUUAUCGCUCAUACCUUAUCAUUUCAUUCCCCAUCAGAGAUCAGAAAGGGUUCAUCUUAGGAGUCCUAGUCUUCUAAGAGGAUGUCCAAGAGACCAAGAAUCAAAGCCAGACGGCCGCCAAGGCAAGUAAGCAGAUUUGCAAAAUGUCAGUCACAUAUUUCUCCCAAAGGACAUGGUUUCAAGACCCAGCAAGUUGAAUCUUUAACUUUGAGCCACUUUUGCACAGGCCCCACAAGUUUACGCAAAGGAGCAUCAGUCUUGACACCAGCAGAGCUGUUGAAUGAGCCCAGUAAAUCAGGAAUAAAUAGCACCCUCCCCUACUCCCCAGCAUCCACCUGCAACUUCCAAGAAGGACUGAAGGAAGAACUCAGAGUUCCCCUGUGUAUAUUUUCAAAGCACUGCUGAUGUGGAAGACAUACGAGACGAGACAUCACUGGGAAAAACCAGGAUAUCUGCCUGGGACCAGUCUUUGCUAGCAUGACAUCCAUUCCCAGCCACCUUCUCUCUGUUUCCUUCCCCUUUGCCGGCUGGCAGCCAGAGGGGGAGUAAAGGAGGAGUUUGUAGAGAAGGGCAUCCUUUCCUGAAUAAAAAAGAUGGCGCUCCACAAGCUGAUGGGUUUGAAGUCCACCUUCUCCUUUCUGCCUGGACAGAUCUGAGAUGCAGGCCAACUCACAGUGGGGCCAGCACACAGGAGCAUCCUGGCCACACUGUACCGGCCCUGGACCACUCACUCUGAAACUCCCUGCUGUAUGCACCAGACCGAUGCCCGGCUGCUUGAGCUGCUGUAGUCAGGUUUCCCUUCAGGUGCAGCCAAACAGAGCUCUCACUGGUAAACCCUAGCAGGAGCUUUUUGCUCUUAAUCUCACGGUAAGAAAACGCAUCAUUUCAGUCGCCUGUUGGAUGCAAGGUUUAUUUUUCCUCUGAGUUCUUUCUGUCCCUUCUCUGGCAUCACUCAAUGUCAUCAGGAGAGCAGAGGGGAAGCGGAAGAAAGAUUUGGGGAGAGAGAGAGAGAUUCAGGAAGCUAAGAGAGGAUGAGAGGAUGUCUCUCCAGCAGGGAGGGAUGUCUGGACCAUCCAGAGGAGCGUUCCCCUUACUUUGCCAGCAUGCCAAAUAUUACAUGAAGUUUUAAACUGUGUUGUGUGCAGGAAUCACCGCGAGUUCUCUGAAAGCACCUCCUAAUUAUGUUCACAGUCUGCAAAGCUCUUAAAGGAAAUGCUCCCUUCCUAUCACUCUGGGACAUCGUA